GAUUCAGUGGCUUAAUGGUUAAAGCGUCCUCCUUGAAUGCGGGAGGUCAUGGGUUCUAACCCCGGCUGAGUCA